GAUGAAGAACGCAGCGAAAUGCGAUAAGUAAUGUGAAUUGCAGAAUUCCGUGAAUCAUCGAAUCUUUGAACGCACAUUGCGCCCGCUAGUAUUCUGGCGGGCAUGCCUGUCCGAGCGUCAUUUCAACCCUCAAGCCCCCGGGCUUGGUGUUGGGGAUCGGCGAGCCUCCGCGCCCGCCGUCCCCUAAAUCUAGUGGCGGUCUCGCUGUAGCUUCCUCUGCGUAGUAGCACACCUCGCACUGGGAAACAGCGCGGCCACGCCGUUAAACCCCCAACUUCUGAACGUUUGACCUCGGAUCAGGUAGGAAUACUCGCUGAACUUAAGCAUAUCAAUAAGCGGAGGA
rnacentral:misc_RNA from 1 species